AUUGAACGCUGGCGGCAGGCCUAACACAUGCAAGUCGAGCGGAUGAAGGGAGCUUGCUCCUGGAUUCAGCGGCGGGCGGGUGAGUAAUGCCUAGGAAUCUGCCUGGUAGUGGGGGAUAACGUCCGGAAACGGGCGCUAAUACCGCAUACGUCCUGAGGGAGAAAGCGGGGGAUCUUCGGACCUCACGCUAUCAGAUGAGCCUAGGUCGGAUUAGCUAGUUGGUGGGGUAAAGGCCUACCAAGGCGACGAUCCGUAACUGGUCUGAGAGGAUGAUCAGUCACACUGGAACUGAGACACGGUCCAGACUCCUACGGGAGGCAGCAGUGGGGAAUAUUGGACAAUGGGCGAAAGCCUGAUCCAGCCAUGCCGCGUGUGUGAAGAAGGUCUUCGGAUUGUAAAGCACUUUAAGUUGGGAGGAAGGGCAGUAAGUUAAUACCUUGCUGUUUUGACGUUACCAACAGAAUAAGCACCGGCUAACUUCGUG
rnacentral:rRNA from 1 species